UGCGCAGGCGGUUAUAUAAGACAGAUGUGAAAUCCCCGGGCUCAACCUGGGAACUGCAUUUGUGACUGUAUAGCUAGAGUACGGCAGAGGGGGAUGGAAUUCCGCGUGUAGCAGUGAAAUGCGUAGAUAUGCGGAGGAACACCGAUGGCGAAGGCAAUCCCCUGGGCCUCUACUGACGCUCAUGCACGAAAGCGUGGGGAGCAAACA
rnacentral:rRNA from 1 species